AAUCAACGCUGGCGGCGUGCCUCAGACAUGCAAGUCGAACGAUUAAAGCUCUCUUCGGAGAGUGCAUAGAGUGGCGCACGGGUGAGUAACACGUAAGUAAUCUACCUUCGAGUGGGGAAUAACGUCCGGAAACGGACGCUAAUACCGCAUAAUGCAGCGGCAUCGCAAGAUGACAGUUGUUAAAGGAGCAAUUCGCUUGAAGAGGAGCUUGCGGCAGAUUAGCUAGUUGGUAAGGUAAUGGCUUACCAAGGCUACGAUCUGUAACCGGUCUAAGAGGACGGUCGGUCACACUGACACUGAAUAACGGGUCAGACUCCUACGGGAGGCAGCAGUCGGGAAUUUUGGGCAAUGGGCGAAAGCCUGACCCAGCAACGCCGCGUGAAGGAUGAAGUAUUUCGGUAUGUAAACUUCGAAAGAAUGGGAAGAAUCAAUGACGGUACCAUUUAUAAGGUCCGGCUAACUACGUGCCAGCAGCCG
rnacentral:rRNA from 1 species